AAUAGAUACCCUGGUAGUCCACGCCGUAAACGAUGGAUACUAGCUGUUCGUCCGCCUCGGCGGAUGAGUGGCUAAGCGAAAGUGAUAGGUAUCCCACCUGGGGAGUACGAACGCAAGUUUGAAACUCAAAGGAAUUGACGGGGGCCCGCACAAGCGGUGGAGCAUGUGGUUUAAUUCGAUGAUACGCGAGGAACCUUACCAAGGCUUAAAUGUAGAUUGACAGGACUGGAAACAGUUUUUUCUUCGGACAAUUUACAAGGUGCUGCAUGGUUGUCGUCAGCUCGUGCCGUGAGGUGUCAGGUUAAGUCCUAUAACGAGCGCAACCCCUGUUGUUAGUUGCCAGCGAGUGAUGUCGGGAACUCUAACAAGACUGCCAGUGUAAACUGUGAGGAAGGUGGGGAUGACGUCAAAUCAUCACGGCCCUUACGCCUUGGGCUACACACGUGCUACAAUGGCCGGUACAGAGAGCAGCCACUGCGCGAGCAGGAGCGAAUCUAUAAAACCGGUCACAGUUCGGA
rnacentral:rRNA from 1 species